UACGUAGGGUGCGAGCGUUGCCCGGAUUUAUUGGGCGUAAAGGGCGCGUAGGCGGUUUGUCGCGUCUGCCGUGAAAGUCCGGGGCUCAACUCCGGAUCUGCGGUGGGUACGGGCAGACUAGAGUGAUGUAGGGGAGACUGGAAUUCCUGGUGUAGCGGUGAAAUGCGCAGAUAUCAGGAGGAACACCGAUGGCGAAGGCAGGUCUCUGGGCAUUAACUGACGCUGAGGAGCGAAAGCAUGGGGAGCGAACAGG
rnacentral:rRNA from 1 species